UGAUGCAGCGAGCGUCACAUUCCACAAAGCGGAGAGCAGUGAAUGCGGGUCUUCAGCUCCUUUUCUCCUUUACGUAGGUUGGGCUCUCAGUCAAUAGCAUGGUGCCUCCAGGCCCAGAGCUGUUCCUAACACAGUCAACCCCAGCUAGAACAUCCUCACACGCAUGCGCGGCCCUGCCUCUAAAUGCUUCCGGGCUCUUCCAACUGACGGCAUCCAUCAUCACUACAGUAACGAUCACAGAUCCUCCAAUCAGAGCCCCAGAGCAGCAGACAAUCAAGGCAAAGCAUGCUGGGUAGACGGAUAGAAACCAGACAGAGCGUCUUUAGGGAUAGAGAAAAACCCAACCUGGUGUCGUCGUCUGCACACCAAGAGUGGGAUGGACAACUCUCACAACACACGCAAAAGAACAACCCUGUUGACUGAGAUGUCUGUUUCCAGUGUAAUUGCCCUUCGAAAAACGAGAAGAGAACAAUGAUAUUUUUAAGACAAGCUGAGAGAUGUUAUCGCAACAUACUCACUGGGCAAGAGCGGUCAGGAGUGUUUUCAUACUAAAGGAAAUGGUACCUCGUGGAAUCUCAGGUCCGCACCAGGGAUAGAAGCCCUCCAGAGGGUCAGCUGAAUGGCAUUGCCCUUCUCCUUCAACUCAGCGAGAUUCAGCCACACUGCGGUGACUCACACUCACUUCAUUCCCCUGGAGAAGAGGAAACCAUACCACCAUGGUGCCAAGAUGUCCAAGAGCCUGAGAACCAGAUGGCCCAGCCUCAUUGCAGGCCCGGGGAGCACCUGAACCAGCUCUGGCUGUCUCACCUGUCUCAUGCCUUAGACCGAGCUUCCCCAUCCCAGGAGUGUGUCUUGGGGCUUCCCUAUGGCCCAGCACCCACCCAGCGAUGACGUGGGCCUCAGGGAACUGCUGAUGAGGGAACCUCAGAGUCCUGCUCCUGGUGAUAUGUUUCGAAGCCUGUCCAGGUUCCUGGGAGAGAUUUUGGAAAUCCCAGGAGUUGGAGAAUCACUGUUUAGGGAAGGUUCAAAGAGCAAACCAUUCACUCCUCCACCCAUCCAUCUAUUCACCCAUCUACUCAUCUACUCAUCCAUCCACCUAUCCAUUUAUUCACCUAUUAAUCCACCUAUCCACCCAUCCAUCUACUG